rnacentral:rRNA from 1 species
UACGUAGGGCGCAAGCGUUGUUCGGAUUUACUGGGCGUAAAGGGCGCGUAGGCGGCGUGUUAAGUCAGCUGUGAAAUCUCCAAGCUCAACUUGGAACGGCCAGCUGAUACUGAUGUGCUAGAGUGCAGAAGGGGCAAUCGGAAUUCUUGGUGUAGCGGUGAAAUGCGUAGAUAUCAAGAGGAACACCUGAGGUGAAGACGGGUUGCUGGGCUGACACUGACGCUGAGGCGCGAAAGCCAGGGGAGCAAACGGG